ACGAACGCUGGCGGCGUGCUUAACACCUGCAAGUCGCACGGAAAGACCCUGCUUUUGUGGGGUGCUCGAGUGGCGAACGGGUGAGUAACACGUGAGUAACCUGCCCUUGACUUUGGGAUAACUUCAGGAAACUGGGGCUAAUACCGGAUAGGAGCUCCUGCUGCAUGGUGGGGGUUGGAAAGUUUCGGCGGUUGGGGAUGGACUCGCGGCUUAUCAGCUUGUUGGUGGGGUAGUGGCUUACCAAGGCUUUGACGGGUAGCCGGCCUGAGAGGGUGACCGGCCACAUUGGGACUGAGAUACGGCCCAGACUCCUACGGGAGGCAGCAGUGGGGAAUAUUGCACAAUGGGCGGAAGCCUGAUGCAGCAACGCCGCGUGCGGGAUGACGGCCUUCGGGUUGUAAACCGCUUUCGCCUGUGACGAAGCGUGAGUGACGGUAAUGGGUAAAGAAGCACCGGCUAACUACGUG
rnacentral:rRNA from 1 species